CGACGGCUACGACGCGCUCCGCCAAUCGGGCCUUGUGGCGUCAUGGUGCGUGACGUCAUAAUCGCAAAGCUGCGCAUGCGCACCGCUACUUUCCCCCUAGGGGGACACGUAGUCAGCGACCGGGACUCGAAGCGCGAAGCGUGAACAGUCGAUUAAACAGAGACGGAGAGAAAGAACUUGAAAAGAAGAAAAAAAAAAAAGACGACGAUAGCACGCGCGCGCACUCGCUUGCUACCCACUCUUAUACAACGAGAAACGAGAGACGCGAAGUCCACUUUACACUCGAGAAAAAGCUGUUAAUCAACUGUUCUUUCAUUUUUUUUUACCAAAUAUCAAUAGUUUUUACUAUUACUAUUUGCUUCGAAUCAAGAUGGCGCUUAAUAAUAAAACGUACAACCGUUACGUCCUCGUUCGUUUAAUUAAGAGAAUAUAAAAUCCAAUUAUGCUCAAUGCUCGUACAACUUACUAUUUCGUAACCGACAAUCAUACGUUAUCAAAAAAAACAAUGGUUAAGUGCACUUAAAUGAAAUCGCUUGAAUGAUACAAACAAUAGCAACGAUACGAGUUUCGAUGAUCAUAUGGCGCACUAUUUUAUCGGGUUUUCUGUCAUGAUAAGGGCAAUAUCAUGAUAACAAUCAUAGGAGGCUUGGCUUACGACUUACGGAAUCGGUGGCACCCAAAAUUCCGACAGCCAAAACUCCGUGUUCUUGGUUAGGUUAGGUAUUAGGUUAAGGUUAGAGUUAGGUUUAGGUUAGGACACCCAAACUUUUGGGCUGUCGGGAUUUUGGGGUGAACCCUUACGGAAUAUGUAUGUAAGAUAGUUUGGUUAUAACAAACACAACUUUGGAUUACAACCAAUUCCUCUAAUAAGUACAACAGGAUUCAAUAAAUUAUACCAAAUUACACUUGAAUCGGUCCAAUAGUUUUCUAGAAAUAUUUCCACUUUUGAUUACCAUUUUUCAAAUACAUGUACACAAAUACAUGAACAUAUACGAGGAAAAAGGCUCGUUAGUUUUCAAGGCGCGCGAGUCACAUGAUAUUAAUAAAACAAACUCAACGUCUUCUGUUUUGUAAUCAACCAUAGGCUUAACGAAAAUUAAUCGCAUUUCGUGUUGAUCAGAAACGAUAUAGAGAUAAGAUAGUAACACCUUAUCGGGAUAACGUAUUAAAUUAUGUGAUUAUUGUUCCGUCUGCGAUAAUAUCUUUUCGUCACUCGUAACCACGUGUGCGAUGUUGAAAUCAAUUUUGUAUCUCGCUCGAACGAGCUUCGAUAAUAAAUAAAUUCACGUAAUCUUUUGAUACAUUGUUGCGCAUCCAGCAGGAUGUUGAAACUUGCGAUACUAAAAGAAAGAAAGAAAGAGAAAAGGAAAGCAUACAAAUAUUCGACAACGUAAUCGUUCGUUACGUUUGCAAAUAAUCUUUAUAAAUAAACGUAUCGAAAGUUCAAUUAUAAACGUGCGAAAAGUCACGAUGAAUAUUUAUCUCGGUUCCCGUAUUAAAAAAAAGAAAAGAAACAUCGUAAUCUUACAAUUACAAUAGAUUGUUAAUGAAUCCUCGUGUUGUGUGUUAACUUGGUGUAUGUAACUUCAAAUGUCGAGUAUCUUGUAAAGAGUGACGUCACUUUGACGUCACGACACGAUACGAGCUCGUAAUACGAGCCUUAGAUGCGGGAAAACGAGAAAAAAAAAGGAACAAAAAUUUAACACACAGGCAUAUCCACACGUUACGCAAUACGAGGCGAGACAGUAAAAGUGGAGGAUCGCGUAACGUUACUUGCCCGAUAAUAAGCUUCUACUAUCGUUACUGAUGAGUAUCGCAAAAAAAAAAAAAAACGAAA